rnacentral:rRNA from 1 species
AGGACACUCUAUACGGAGUUACAAAGGACGACAUUAGACGAAUCAUCUGGAAAGAUGAAUCAAAGAAGGUAAUAAUCCUGUAGUCGAAAAUGUUGUCUCUCUUGAGUGGAUCCUGAGUACGACGGAGCACGUGAAAUUCCGUCGGAAUCUGGGAGGACCAUCUCCUAAGGCUAAAUACUCUCUAGUGACCGAUAGUGAACCAGUACCGUGAGGGAAAGGUGAAAAGCACCCCGGAAGGGGAGUGAAAUAGAACCUGAAACCGUGUGCUUACAAGUAGUCAGAGCCCGUUAAUGGGUGAUGGCGUGCCUUUUGUAGAAUGAACCGGCGAGUUACGAUUUGAUGCAAGGUUAAGCAGUAAAUGUGGAGCCGUAGCGAAAGCGAGUCUGAAUAGGGCGUUUAGUAUUUGGUCGUAGACCCGAAACCAGGUGAUCUACCCUUGGUCAGGUUGAAGUUCAGGUAACACUGAAUGGAGGACCGAACCGACUUACGUUGAAAAGUGAGCGGAUGAACUGAGGGUAGCGGAGAAAUUCCAAUCGAACCUGGAGAUAGCUGGUUCUCUCCGAAAUAGCUUUAGGGCUAGCCUCAAGUGAUGAUUAUUGGAGGUAGAGCACUGUUUGGACGAGGGGCCCCUCUCGGGUUACCGAAUUCAGACAAACUCCGAAUGCCAAUUAAUUUAACUUGGGAGUCAGAACAUGGGUGAUAAGGUCCGUGUUCGAAAGGGAAACAGCCCAGACCACCAGCUAAGGUCCCAAAAUAUAUGUUAAGUGGAAAAGGAUGUGGCGUUGCCCAGACAACUAGGAUGUUGGCUUAGAAGCAGCCAUCAUUUAAAGAGUGCGUAAUAGCUCACUAGUCGAGUGACACUGCGCCGAAAAUGUACCGGGGCUAAACAUAUUACCGAAGCUGUGGAUUGUCCUUUGGACAAUGGUAGGAGAGCGUUCUAAGGGCGUUGAAGCAUGAUCGUAAGGACAUGUG